UACGUACCGUCCAAACGUUAUUCGGAAUCACUGGGCUUAAAGAGUUCGUAGGCGGCCCAGAAAGUUGGGUGUGAAAUCCCUCGGCUCAACCGAGGAAUUGCGCUCAAAACUACUGGGCUAGAGGGAGAUAGAGGUGAGCGGAACUGAUGGUGGAGCGGUGAAAUGCGUUGAUAUCAUCAGGAACACCGGAGGCGAAGGCGGCUCACUGGGUCUCUCCUGACGCUGAGGAACGAAAGCUAGGGGAGCGAACGGG
rnacentral:rRNA from 1 species